rnacentral:tRNA from 1 species
GCGGUAAUGGCCCAGCGCUACGCGAGACGCAGUGAAGAGAAGACAGGCCAGAAGGCGCCAGCCUCCUGACCUGGCGGCGCGGUUUACGCCGCGCUGACUUUCGCGAUUAGCGCCUGUUUUUCCGCG